CUUCUCAUUUGUGUUCGUCACCUCUCUCUCCAUCAUCGUCUCUGUCACAAACUCCUCCACCUCUUCCUCAAAUCAAUGUCACUUUCUAGAUUGGCAUCUGCUGAGUUUUCUUGGAAUCGAGAGGCUUUGGAGCUGCUACUUGGGUAUAUUUUCUUAUCCUUUGGGAGAAUUGGUUUGUUGCUAGGCUAGAAAUAGUUGUAUUGUCUAUGUGUUUUGAUGUAUGAUAUUUUGAUCCAUGAUUAGGUGACUGAAUCUGUCCGGGGGGUGCUUCUGUUAUUAAUGCUCUUUUUUGCAGCUAUGUCUGCGUCACGACCUGAUUCGAAAAUAAAGAAUAUUCAUGAAUCGGAGACAUUGAAGAUACCAUUGUCAUCAAUAUAAAAGGAAAUAUUGGCUCUAGCAACACCUUGGGGACAUGGAGGAAAGUUAUCCAAGAUGAGUUCGCCCAAAAAGUAAUUAUCCGCAGUCGUUGCACUCUCACCUUCAUAAAUGGCGACUCUGCCGCUACAUUGGUUAUCAAAGAUGGUGGUGGAGAUAUGAUUCACUAUGAUGGGAAUUCCAGAGUUUCUGAGAAUAAAAACUCCCAUGGAACCUUCUUUGCCAUUCACUAUGCCAAGUGACAGAGGGGUGACAUCACAGAGAACGAAGUCUUGAAGCUUCCCAUUUUCAUUUCUAUUCCCACUCAAGGCUGUAGCUUGAACAUCGAUAAUUUCAUAUAGUAGACAAUUUCCCAAAUUUGAUUUUAUGAUCCAGGAUUUUAAUGUUGAUUUUGGUUUGUAUUA